GGCAGGGUAGCUCAGUUGGUCAGAGCGGGGGACUCAUAAGCACUAGGUCGCGGGUUCGAAUCCCGCCCCUGCCA
rnacentral:tRNA from 1 species